GAGCUUUGAAAGACAGACGUGUCCUCUUUUCCUCUACUCUAAGUAUCAGGCAUUGUGCUAUAGGCUGAUUUUAAAGUGGGGACACAGAAAGAGAGGUGUGAAAGAUAAAGCUUGCCAUAAAGAUCCUUUACUUUAUAUAUAGUAUGAUUUAGUGUUCAUAACAGGUUAGGAUUAUUAUUAUUUCCAUUUUUGUUUAACAGAUGACACAACUAAGGCUCAGAGAGGUUAGGUGUUUUAUCUGAGCUUACACAGCUGGCAAGUGCCUGGGCUCUCCUAUCUGAGCCUGAGCCCUUGCUUACGCUUCCUCUCCCCACACUCCAGAAUAAUAUUCCUCUCUCCACUUAACUCCCAGAGAUCAGACUCUGAUGGGUCCUUGAGGGAUUCCUGCCAGGGAGUUGCCAUCCCUGCAACCUCCCACCCCCAUCCCGACCCCCACGCCAAGUAAUCUUUUUUCUGCUGUGGAGAGUGGGCCUGUAAACAGAUGAGGCCAGAAUCUCCAUUUCAGGAGCUUUCUCUAGAAUCUGUCCCUGUAGUUACUUCCAGUAGAAGUUGUUUCAGGAAGAGGUUUGUCUGACUGCAAUGGACAGUGGUGCAAUUCAUCACUACAGGAGGGCAGAAUCCACGACUGAGGGGCCACACGUCGAGAGGGGAGGGGCCAGGGGGCGGCCCCCGUGUGACCAGCCCUGAGGAGAGGUCAGGAGAGAAGGCUGGAUGAGGAGUGCCUGGACAGCCAGCAGCUGCUGACGUUCUAUAUCACGCGCCUGGGGCCCAAGGUAACUCAGAAACCUUUAAAUAAACAGCUGGGCUGGGGGCGUUGCGGAGCCGGGGCGGGAAGGGGCAGGGACUUCAGGGGUCGGGCACUGAAGCUGGGGACGCCGAAAGUGAGGCGGGCUGAGAAGGAGUCCGAAUUCUCGGAGGAAUUAUAGGGAAUCAGGGCUCUGAAGCAAGAAACCAGGUGUGAGAGGGAACACAAGCGCGAAAGAACGUCAGAGGGCGCAAGAGCGUGGCUGACCAAAAGAGUGCGCUCGGAGAUAGGGGCAAAGGGUGGAACACGGCCAGCCCCAGAAGCAUAGGUCAUAAGGAAAGAACGUCAGAGGAAGCUGUAGCAAAGCGAGGCUGCGCAAGGCGCAGGACAGGCACUGAGAGGGUGGCGCCUUUUUUAAAGAAGGUUCCAUCUCUUUCCACCCUAAUGCUCAGACCGUAUCCCCGCCCCCAACUUUUCCUCCGUUCGUCCCCCCGCCUGGGCAUGAUCCGAUCGCCUUUAAACCAGGUAACACCAGCUCUGGGAGCCUCUGACUAGAGGGGGUGGAGCCCACAGCGGCCGCCAGCU
rnacentral:lncRNA from 1 species